GCGAGUAGCGCGCCCAUUCAAUCUUUCAUCCACAGAAUCGUCCAUUUCGAACUCAAACACUCAAACGAUCCACCAGUGAAAAGAAUCGUAAUCUGCUCGGAAAAAUUGACAUUAUAGUGGCACGUAAGUUCCCAGUAUUCGAAUGCAGCCCACUAAAGAUUCCUGAUUCAUCAACCGACUCCUGACAACUUUCACAAAAAAAAUAAAAAAUUAGGACUCGGCCUCGAGAGAACAAAAAGGACUGGAAUUAAGUACCAAGUUGGAAUUUUUCUCCUUAUUCAAACCGAAUUCGACGUGCCCAACCCAGACCCGGAGUUCCAGUUUGGGACUCACGACUUCUUGGAAGAAAUCUCAUCUAGGAUUUGGUUGGACUCUUUCACUCAAACCAGAGUCCAAAGUGAAUUAUUUUUGGCACUUUUUGAGCUUUUUGUCAAAAUUUUUGAGUUUCCGCUUUCCCUGUUUCGAUGUGCAAGCAACUAAAUUUGUGUCGCUCUCUCAAUUUUUUAUCAAGAAAUACUCGAGAUUUUUUUCUCAUCAUUUCGAAAAAUAUGUCAAUUUUGACGUUUUGCAUUCUCACCUAUUUCUUCAACGUUUUUCCGGUCUCGACACUUCUCAUCUGAACUAGUAGGGGUUCUAGCUAUACGAAAAUAGUAGACGUAGUGGUCACGCCCAAAUGCUGCCGAAACGAUGAUCAGAA